rnacentral:rRNA from 1 species
UAAGGUUAAGUUAGAAAGGGCGCACGGUGAAUGCCUUGGCACUAGGAGCCGAUGAAGGACGGGACUAACACCGAUAUGCUUUGGGGAGCUGUACGUAAGCUUUGAUCCAGAGAUUUCCGAAUGGGGAAACCUACUAUGCUUGAUCGCAUAGUGUCUUCAACUGAAUACAUAGGUUGUUGACGGCAGACGCAGGGAACUGAAACAUCUUAUUACCUGCAGGAAGAGAAAGAAAAAUCGAUUUCCUAAGUAGCGGCGAGCGAAACGGAAACAGCCCAAACCAAAGAGCUUGCUCUUUGGGGUUGUAGGACACUCUACACGGAGUUACAAAAGAAACGUUUAGUUGAGUAACCUGGAAAGGUUAACCAAAGAGGGUAACAGUCCCGUAAACGAAAAGCGUUUCUCUCCAGAGUGGAUCCUGAGUACGGCGGGACACGAGAAAUCCCGUCGGAAUCCACGGGGACCAUCCCGUAAGGCUAAAUACUCCCUAGUGACCGAUAGUGUACCAGUACCGUGAGGGAAAGGUGAAAAGAACCCCGGAAGGGGAGUGAAAUAGUUCCUGAAACCGUGUGCCUACAAGUAGUUAAAGCCCGUUAAUGGGUGAUAGCGUGCCUUUUGUAGAAUGAACCGGCGAGUUACGUUUACUAGCAAGGUUAAGUUGAUAAGACGGAGCCGCAGCGAAAGCGAGUCUGAAUAGGGCGAAUUAGUUAGUAGGCGUAGACCCGAAACCAGGUGAUCUACCCAUGUCCAGGAUGAAGGUAAGGUAAAACUUACUGGAGGUCCGAACCCACGUAAGUUGAAAAUUGCGGGGAUGAGGUGUGGGUAGCGGAGAAAUUCCAAUCGAACCUGGAGAUAGCUGGUUCUCUCCGAAAUAGCUUUAGGGCUAGCCUCGAGGUUGAGAGUCAUGGAGGUAGAGCACUGUUUGAACUAGGGGCCCAUCUAGGGUUACUGAAUUCAGAUAAACUCCGAAUGCCAUCGACUUAUACUCGGGAGUCAGACAGUGAGUGAUAAGAUCCAUUGUCGAGAGGGAAACAGCCCAGACCACCAGUUAAGGUCCCUAAAUAUACGUUAAGUGGAAAAGGAUGUAGUAUUGCUUAGACAACUAGGAUGUUGGCUCAGAAGCAGCCACCAUUUAAAGAGUGCGUAAUAGCUCACUAGUCGAGUGACACCGCGCCGAAAAUGUACCGGGGCUAAACGUAUUACCGAAACUGUGGAUGGACAUCUAAGAUGUCCGUGGUAGGAGAGCGUUCUAAGGACAGUGAAGUCAGACCGAGAGGACUGGUGGAGUGCUUAGAAGUGAGAAUGCCGGUAUGAGUAGCGAAAGACGGGUGAGAAUCCCGUCCACCGAAUAUCUAAGGUUUCCUGGGGAAGGCUCGUCCGCCCAGGGUUAGUCGGGACCUAAGCUGAGGCCGAUAGGCGUAGGCGAUGGACAACAGAUUGAUAUUUCUGUACCAGUCAUUAAUGUUUGAGCGAUGGGGGGACGCAGGAGGAUACGAACGCAUGCUGAUGGAUAUGCAUGUACAAGCAAUUAGGCAGGGAAGUAGGCAAAUCCGCUUUCCGUGUAAGCUGAGUUGUGAUGUGGUGGCACCUAGUGCCGUAGGUUCUGAUUCCACACUGCCAAGAAAAGCCUCUAGUUAGUUAAUGACUGCCCGUACCGCAAUCCGACACAGGUAGAUGAGGAGAGAAUCCUAAGGUGAGCGAGAGAACUCUUGUUAAGGAACUCGGCAAAAUGACCCCGUAACUUCGGGAGAAGGGGUGCUCUAUUAAGGUGAAAGCCUGAGAGAGCCGCAGUGAAUAGGCCCAAGCGACUGUUUACCAAAAACACAGGUCUAUGCAAAAUCGUAAGAUGACGUAUAUGGGCUGACACCUGCCCGGUGCUGGAAGGUUAAGAGGAGUGCUUAGCGCAAGCGAAGGUGCGAAUUGAAGCCCCAGUAAACGGCGGCCGUAACUAUAACGGUCCUAAGGUAGCGAAAUUCCUUGUCGGGUAAGUUCCGACCCGCACGAAAGGUGUAACGAUUUGGGCACUGUCUCAACAAGAGACUCGGUGAAAUUAUAGUACCUGUGAAGAUGCAGGUUACCCGCGACAGGACGGAAAGACCCCGUGGAGCUUUACUGCAAUCUGAUAUUGAAUGUUUGUGUCACUUGUACAGGAUAGGUAGGAGCCUUAGAUUCCGGAGCGCUAGCUUCGGAGGAGGCGUUGGUGGGAUACUACCCUUGUGACAUGACCAUUCUAACCCGCACCCCUUAUCGGGGUGGGAGACAGUGUCAGAUGGGCAGUUUGACUGGGGCGGUCGCCUCCUAAAGAGUAACGGAGGCGCCCAAAGGUUCCCUCAGAAUGGUUGGAAAUCAUUCGCAGAGUGUAAAGGCACAAGGGAGCUUGACUGUGAGACCUACAAGUCGAACAGGGACGAAAGUCGGGCUUAGUGAUCCGGUGGUUCCGCAUGGAAGGGCCAUCGCUCAACGGAUAAAAGCUACCCCGGGGAUAACAGGCUUAUCUCCCCCAAGAGUCCACAUCGACGGGGAGGUUUGGCACCUCGAUGUCGGCUCAUCGCAUCCUGGGGCUGUAGUCGGUCCCAAGGGUUGGGCUGUUCGCCCAUUAAAGCGGUACGCGAGCUGGGUUCAGAACGUCGUGAGACAGUUCGGUCCCUAUCCGUCGCGGGCGCAGGAAAUUUGAGAGGAGCUGUCCUUAGUACGAGAGGACCGGGAUGGACACACCGCUGGUGUACCAGUUGUUCCGCCAGGAGCAUCGCUGGGUAGCUAUGUGUGGAAGGGAUAAACGCUGAAAGCAUCUAAGCGUGAAGCCCCCCUCGAGAUGAGAUUUCCCAUCACUUUAUGUGAGUAAGACCCCUGAGAGACGAUCAGGUUGAUAGGUUCGGAGUGGAAGUACAGCAAUGUAUGGAGCGGACGAAUACUAAUAGGUCGAGGACUUAACCUUA